CAGACUUCGCCAGGAGCGGCCGUUUCGCGUUCCUGGGGCGUUAGGCGGCGCCCCUCAGCGUGAGACGGCGCCUCUUUUCGUGGUUUUGUUUGUGGAGCACAUCUAACCAUGAGUCUGAUGAGGAAUACCAAGAUGUAAAAACAGGGGAAGAAGAAGAAGAGGAAGAGGAAGAGGAAGAGGAAGAGGAAGAGGAAGAGGAAGAGGAAGAGGAAGAAGAUGAAGAAGAAGAAGAAGAAGAAGAAGAAGAACAAGAACAAGAACAAGAACAAGAACAAGAACAAGAACAAGAACAAGAACAAGAAGAUGAUGAUAUAAUUCUGUUAUUUCCAUCCUUUCAGUAAUGGCGUCACAAAGAUAUUCUUCUGGAAUAAAUUGUGUAAGUGGAAGUCUCAUAAAAAUAAAA